rnacentral:rRNA from 1 species
AUUGAACGCUGGCGGCAUGCCUUACACAUGCAAGUCGAACGGCAGCACGGAGCUUGCGCUGGUGGCGAGUGGCGAACGGGUGAGUAAUAUAUCGGAACGUACCCAAGAGUGGGGGAUAACGUAGCGAAAGUUACGCUAAUACCGCAUGCGAUCUAAGGAUGAAAGCAGGGGACCUUCGGGCCUUGUGCUCCUGGAGCGGCCGAUAUCUGAUUAGCUAGUUGGUGAGGUAAAGGCUCACCAAGGCAUCGAUCAGUAGUUGGUCUGAGAGGACGACCAGCCACACUGGAACUGAGACACGGUCCAGACUCCUACGGGAGGCAGCAGUGGGGAAUUUUGGACAAUGGGGGCAACCCUGAUCCAGCAAUGCCGCGUGAGCGAAGAAGGCCUUCGGGUUGUAAAGCUCUUUUGUCAGGGAAGAAACGGUGAAGGCUAAUAUCCUUUGCUAACGACGGUACCGUAAGAAUAAGCACCGGCUAACUACGUGCCAGCCGCCGCAGUAA